rnacentral:misc_RNA from 1 species
UCAAACUUGGUCAUUUAGAGGAAGUAAAAGUCGUAACAAGGUCUCCGUUGGUGAACCAGCGGAGGGAUCAUUAUCAGAGUUUCGACUCUCAAACCACUGUGCAUCAAUACUAUUUCUGCUGAGGCGGGCCGCUCGCUCGGGGAGCUUCGGCCUGUAUAGGUGGUCCGCCGAAGCAACUUUCAAGCUCUUUCAAACCGUAAGAGAAAACUUUCAAAGAAUCACAACUCAUAACAAUGGAUCUCUUGGCUCUGGCAUCGAUGAAGAACGCAGC